CUUUGAAUUAUCACCACCACCAGCUUGGAGAGUGGGUUCAACACCGCCUGCAACAACGUCAGCACCCUGCAAAACAAAAUAACCACAGUAAUUGUUAUCCAACGAAAGAAAAAGAAACAAAAACACAUUAUAUGUUUUGAUGCUAAGAUAACUAUUACCAAACUAAUGACAUAACAACUAAUCUCUUAGUUAACAAUCGUUGCCUACAAACUUACCUGCGGAUGAGCAAUCAGACCUGGGGAGGGGAGAUCUUCAUCCAUUGGGACAUUGUUCUCCGGCUAGAACCAAAAAAAAAAAAAAAAAAAAUUAAACAGUGAGGGGGGAAUGCAAACCUGGUUAACAAAACUCCAUUAAUAACAACUAUAUAGAUUAAACAUUUUACUAACAGUUAUACCACUAUAACAUAGCAACUAACCUCUGCGUUAUCUUCAACAACAGAGUCUGUGGGUGGGACAACAUGACCUGUAACAUUGUUACCGCCCUAAAAAAAUUUUACAAAAAUUAGUUAAACAACAAUAAAACACAGUCACAGCGUCAUUGUAUGUUUGAAGGUAAAAGUAAGUGUUAGCAUCUACCUAAGAUAACACCAAAUAUCUGAAAUAACUUAGCCAAAUAUCACCAUAGACAACUCGCCCACAUUUUACUAAUAGUUACCCCAGAAAAACCAAAACAACUAACCUCGGGGUUAUCUUCAUCAACACAUUCUGUGGGGGGGACAACAUCAGCUGUAACGUUGUUAACGCC
rnacentral:lncRNA from 1 species